rnacentral:rRNA from 3 species
AAAUUGAAGAGUUUGAUCAUGGCUCAGAUUGAACGCUGGCGGCAGGCCUAACACAUGCAAGUCGAGCGGUAGCACAGAGAGCUUGCUCUCGGGUGACGAGCGGCGGACGGGUGAGUAAUGUCUGGGAAACUGCCUGAUGGAGGGGGAUAACUACUGGAAACGGUAGCUAAUACCGCAUAACGUCGCAAGACCAAAGAGGGGGACCUUCGGGCCUCUU